rnacentral:rRNA from 1 species
GAUGAACGCUGGCGGCGUGCCUAAUACAUGCAAGUCGAGCGAACUGAUUAGAAGCUUGCUUCUAUGACGUUAGCGGCGGACGGGUGAGUAACACGUGGGCAACCUGCCUGUAAGACUGGGAUAACUUCGGGAAACCGAAGCUAAUACCGGAUAGGAUCCUCUCCUUCAUGGGAGAUGAUUGAAAGAUGGUUUCGGCUAUCACUUACAGAUGGGCCCGCGGUGCAUUAGCUAGUUGGUGAGGUAACGGCUCACCAAGGCAACGAUGCAUAGCCGACCUGAGAGGGUGAUCGGCAACACUGGGACUGAGACACGGCCCAGACCCCUACGGGAGGCAGCAGUAGGGAAUCUUCCGCAAUGGACGAAAGUCUGACGGAGCAACGCCGCGUGAGUGAUGAAGGCUUUCGGGUCGUAAAACUCUGUUGUUAGGGAAGAACAAGUACGAGAGUAACUGCUCGUACCUUGACGGUACCUAACCAGAAAGCCACGGCUAACUACGUGCCAGCCGCCGCAGUAAAAC